rnacentral:rRNA from 1 species
AGUGAACGCUGGCGGUAGGCCUAACACAUGCAAGUCGAACGGCAGCACAGUAAGAGCUUGCUCUUACGGGUGGCGAGUGGCGGACGGGUGAGGAAUACAACGGAAUCUACUUUUUCGUGGGGGAUAACGUAGGGAAACUUACGCUAAUAUCGCAUACGACCUACGGGUGAAAGCAUGGGAUCUUCUGACCUGGCGCGAUUGAAUGAGCCGAUGUCGGAUUAGCUGGUUGGCGGGGUAAAGGCCCACCAAGGCGACGAUACGUAGCUGGUCUGAGAGGAUGGUCGGCCGCAUUGGAGCUGAGACAGGGUCCAGGCGCCUGCGAGAGGGAGCAGUGGGCAAUAGGGGGCAGUGGGCGGGAGCAUGGUCCAGCCGUACCGAGUGGGUGGAGGAAACCUUCGGGUUGUAAUGCCCUUUUGUUGGGUGUAAAAAGCUUUAGGUUAAUACCAAGCUGGACUGACGGUACCGGAAGAAUAAGCACCGGCUAACUACGUG